rfam:Kazachstania saulgeensis genome assembly, contig: scaffold_03
GCUUUUGUAGCUCAGUCGGAAGAGCGUCAGUCUCAUAAUCUGAAGGUCGAGAGUUCGAACCUCCCCAAGAGCA